rnacentral:rRNA from 1 species
AACGAACGCUGGCGGCGUGCUUAACACAUGCAAGUCGAACGCGAAAGGGACUUCGGUCCUGAGUAAAGUGGCGCACGGGUGAGUAACGCGUAGAUAACCUGUCCUUGUGUUCGGGAUAAUAUGCCGAAAGGUGUACUAAUACCGGAUACUCUUGCUUUUCACAAGUUAUGCAAGCAAAGGUGGCCUCUGACAUAAGCUACUGCAUGAGGAGGGGUCUGCGUACCAUUAGCUAGUAGGUGGGGUAAUGGCCCACCUAGGCGACGAUGGUUAGCGGGUCUGAGAGGAUGAUCCGCCACACUGGCACUGGAACACGGGCCAGACUCCUACGGGAGGCAGCAGUGAGGAAUAUUGCGCAAUGGGGGCAACCCUGACGCAGCGACGCCGCGUGAGUGAGGAAGGCCUUCGGGUCGUAAAGCUCUGUCAAAGGGAAAGAAGUGCAUGGAGGUUAAUACCCUUCAUGUUUGACGGUACCCUUAAAGGAAGCACCGGCUAACUCCGUGCCAGCCGCCGCUGUAAAAC